ACACUGUGAGGGUGUGUGCAUUUAGGGCACUAUUUCACUAUUUGAAAUUAUACAGUGUGUUGCUGUUCAAUGGAGCCUACAUCAAAACUGGCAGAAACAAUAAGGAAUGGGAGUUUGACAGCAAUGUCAUGUUUAGUUAAUGUACAUUUGUGUAACAUUAUAGUUAUAACUAUAGUCCUUGAAUGUUUCCUAAUAUUCCUCCUUUCCCUGGUCUUUCUCAGAUGAAGCUGCCGGUCUUGGUGGUCGUCUCACUGCUGCACCUGGGACAGUCCUGUGCCCAGGCUGCAGACCCCUUCCACGCAGCCUCCGGGACAUACUGUAGUGAGGAAGAGCUCCCUGAGACGGAAGGCUCAACUUGCAGUGGCUGAGCUUGAAUGGUUCUCUCCUCACUGUAGCUGUAGGCAUCUACAACAGCUACACCGAACACACAGACUACAUCUGCAAAUAUAACUGCGAAGCCGGCUUCUACACAAGGGGCCUUACUACCAAUACCCCUACGGUGACAGAGAGUACUACGUUCCAGAUCCUGACCCCCCCACCCGAGACCAUGCGCAUUUCCGUUAUCACCAACAACGAGUGCCAGAUGGUGACCAUCUCCAAAACGUCGGAGGUGAAGAGCACCUGGAACAUCGGACGAACCACCAUUCUGGGCAUCACCACCGGCAUCACAGCCAAGAUACCCCCUGACUGGCUCCGGAAGGGUGGAGUUCAGUGCGGAGAAAACCCUACAGUUCAACAGGGGCACCACUAUGGUGGAGCUCAACAUAACACCCAAACACUCCUGUAACGUGUACAUGGAAGGCCGCAAGUUCACAUGUGACACAUGUGACACAUGUAGCACAUUUUACACAAGUAUUGUACAGUUUGUGGUUCCUGGCCAGGUGUAAACAAUGGAAAAUGACUGUGAUUAUUGUGUUCAAUUUUUUUUCACAAUUUAUGUCUAAUGAAUUAAAUGACAGAAAAUACAGAACGUACCUGUUUUGAAAUGUAUGCUCUCAAAAAAUAAAUGUGUACAUAUAUUGCA